rnacentral:rRNA from 1 species
AGCGAACGCUGGCGGCAUGCUUAACACAUUCAAGUCGCGCGGGUGGUUUCGGCCAUCAGCGGCGGACGGGUGAGUAUCGCGUAGUAAUUUAUCCCGAGGUGGGGGACAACCCUGGGAAACUUGGGCUAAUACCCCAUGGGGCCUGUGGGUCAAAGCCUUAGGGCGCCUUGGGAGCAGCCUGCGUCCGAUUAGGUAGUUGGUGGGGUAAAGGCCUACCAAGCCUGCGAUCGGUAGCUGGUCUGAGAGGACGAUCAGCCACACUGGGACUGAGACACGGCCCAGACUCCUACGGGAGGCAGCAGUGGGGAAUAUUGGACAAUGGGCGCAAGCCUGAUCCAGCAAUGCCGCGUGGGUGAAGAAGGUCUUCGGAUUGUAAAGCCCUUUCGGCGGGGACGAUGAUGACGGUACCCGCAGAAGAAGCCCCGGCUAACUUCGUG